ensembl:lncRNA
CAAAGUUUUUGUUAGUUUAGUUUUUUCUUCUUCUUGAGAUGCUAAUACCUUCAGACACUAAAUCUCAAAAUAGUCAUGGCUACCAAAGAACUAUAUAUAUGGGAAGAAAGCAUGUAGAAAUAUAUGAACAAAUAAAAAAUCUAAUCUAAUCGUAAAGUGUUCUAAAAAUGUAGAGAAUGCAAUUAUGACAAAGUUAAAUUCUACGCACAUAAUAAUACUCUCUUCGCAUUUUUCAAAUGCAUACACAAAUACACAGUUAUAAACAGGGCAGACAAACGAAUAUUGUGCAAGCAGUUUGAUUAUUAGAACUAAAAUAUCAGGAAAAAAAGUAUUACACAAAAUAUGUAUUUAUAAAAUAAAGAGUAUUAAAAAGUCGAUGGAUAACAAUGCUAGAAGAAUACUCAAAAUGGCGGCUCAAGCCUCUGUAGUUCAGCAAGAGUAACGUACACUGCAGAUUGUGUGUGUGUGUGUGUGUGUGUGUGUGUGUGUGUGUGUGUGUGUGUGUGUGUGUGUGUGUGUGUGUGUGUGUGUGUGUGGGCGUGCCCAAGUCUGUGUGUCUGUCUGUCUGUCUGCAUUCGACUGUACUUGGGAAUGUGUGUGUUGGUGUAUCCUUGUAUUGUGUGUGUGUGUGUGUGUUUGUGUAUGUGUCUGUGUGUAUGUUUGCUGAAUAGAGAUAACCUAACCAAAAAGGAAUAAGUCCCCAAGCCUGUCAUGAUUUAUGCCCGUCUACACCUUUGUGGUGUAUUUGUGUGAAUUAUCUUUCUGUCACACUGAUUUUUACUGAUGUGCACGAGUGUGUGACUGUAUAUAUGCAAACAAGCUUAUAUCUGUGCACUUCGAUGUGUUCGUCAGCUUGCCUGUGUCUGUAUGUGUGUGUGUAAAUUCAUUUGUGUGUGUGUGUGUGUGUGUGUGUGUGUGUGUGUGUGUGUGUGUGUGUGUGUAUGUGUGUAUGUGGCGUAUGUAUAAAGUGCAUAUGUGUGAGUAUUUGUGUAUGUGUGUGUAUGCACAAAUUUCAUUUUUAAGUGUGUGUGUAUACUUGUGCAUUAAGUGCAUAUCUGUGUGUGUGUGUGUGUGUUUGUGUGUGUGUAUGUGUAUACUUGCGCAUUAAGUGCAUAUCUGUGUGUGUGUGUGUGUUUGUGUGUGUGUGUGUAUGUGUAUACUUGUGCAUUAAGUGCAUAUCUGUGUGUGUGUGUGUGUGUGUGUGUGUGUGUUCCCGCGCAUAUGUGAGGGUGUGUCUCUACACCACACCUCCUCUGCGCAGAAAUGCAGCAUUACGAGCACGCCUCUCCGAGGGGGGGUGUGAUAGGCUUGGGGAGCGCGGGCCCAGCGGCAGGAACCUCCCUUCGAUCAGGCCAUCUGCCUGCACCUUGGUGGCACAGUACACCUUACGAACAGCAAUGCCCCCCCCUGAUGUGGGAGGGGGGGGGGGGAUGGUCUCAAAAUGCCCCGUCAGCUGAACGCUUCGACCAUCGCAGAGACAAACGAAAAAAGGGGGACUGCAUGCAUAACAGACAAAACAGAAAAGAGGUGGGGGAAAACUUUCUUUGCUUUUAGAUGCUUCUAUCUCUUUCUUUUUCUCUCUCCCUCUCUUUUGCUCUCCCUCUCUCCCUCUCUCUCUCUCUCUCUCUCUCGCUUUCUCCUGCAGUGGGGUAAGAGUGGGCUACGCUGCAAUGGAGUCCCUGCACAGAUUGAUCUAACAUGGCCGCCACAGGCUGUGCUUUGGGAGUGAGUGUGCACGCCGAAAAGCUAGUGCACUCGGUCCGUGCUGCCUCUACUUCGGGCCAGCCGGUUCUGUUUGUCUCCCGGCUGAUAUCGGGGCUGGCCGGCACAGGAAAGUGGAGAAGAUCCGGGGCCAGGCUCCAUGCUCUUUGUUGUUAAGGCACUGCAGGCAGAGCAAAAACCUGAACAAAAUGGCUACAAGUAAAAGAAUUAUAAGGACUGUGAUUUUUCUGUCUUGAAUUGUCUGAUUCAUACAAUGCAAAGGGCGCACCAGCUCUGGAAUGAGGAACAACCUGACCAAUGAAAUGCUUUGUUAAAACGUCACAUCUCGCCACAGAUUUUUAACCAAUUACAUUUUUGUUUUAGGGGGGGACUGGUUAACCAUAUAUGCAUACGUUACAUCGCAUACAUCUGGUGCGUGUUUCUAUCUGUUUUUCCGCACACUCUCCAGGGUAUCUGGGAUAUCACAGUGAGGCUAUUUCAUUGUCACUGCUCUCAGAUAUCUUGGCUGUUUGUGCUCCGUCCGUUUUGAGUGUGUAACCUUGGAGUGUAUCCUGCUAUGGGGGCACUACAGAAGGUUCAUCUGAGGACACGGUUUUGGUUUCGGGUGGAAAGCCAAUGCCUCACAGCAUGUGCCAGUAAGAUGCCCCUCGCUCUCCAGGAGUGGGUCACAUUAAUACAAGCUCUUGUGCUCGCUAUGACAGCGCUACACACAGCUUUAACGACUCCAACAAGCAAAAUUUUAUUAUUUUAUAAGCACGCCCACACACACAACGUACUAUUGAACAUGAUUAUAGAAUUAAGAAGGAUUUGUUUUGGUUUAAAAAAAAAAAAACAUAAUUCAAUAAUGAAUACAAUAGGAAGAUGCAGGACAAUUCAUAAAUAUGAGAGUCAGAACAUGCCUAUAAGUGCGCUGUGAAAUGUUUAGGUUUUAUGCUUAAGAGAGCUUCUCUGCAAGAGUAUUCUUUGAGUUAAGCAGAAGAGAAUACAUAUUGCUAACUGGUACAACCAUAUCAUUUCUAAACAGAAUUUGAAUCCCGUGCAUAGACAUAGACGAUGUUUGAAAAAGAAACAUGUUGUGAGAGAAAUAAAUUAGCCGCUCCCGAGAGGCUUGUGGUUGAUAGAGAGCCCCUGUUCCCUGUCCCUAUCUGUCCAUAUCAGUUCAUUCUUAUGAAAGCUCGGAUAGAAAACAAAAUGGAUACCCUCUUCAUGCCCGAGGAACAUACAGCAUAAGCUCCUGUCUCACUAUACUCUCACUUCUAAGUAUAGGCUAUACUAUUAAACAUGCUAACCUAUUACAAAUAAAUUGCCUUCAAUAUCCAGGUUUCUUUCAUUUGUUCUUUGUCUCUUUCUUAUUUUUUUCUAAUCAUAGGAAGAUAUUGUGAAAUGCAUUGAGCUGCAAUAUAAAAUUGAAUAUGAAGGAGGAUUUAAACGACGAGAGGAAAGUAUAUAUAUUACAUUGUAAUCAUAUAUGCCUUCUAGGCUGUAAAUUGUAUAUAUUUUACUAUAUCUUUGUGUUCAAUGUCAAAAUGAAGUAUGUC